CAACUCUGGGAUAACUCCGCUUAAGCGGGGUUUAAUACCGGAUAUGAGCCUUGAUCGUAUGAUCGGGGCUGGAAAGUCUUCCGGUUGAAGAUGACUUCUCGGCCUAUCAGCUUGUUGGUGAGGUAAUGGUUCACCAAGGCGACGACGGGUAGCCGGCCUGAGAGGGCGACCGGCCACACUGGGACUGACACACGGCCCAGAUUCCUACGGGAGGCAGCAGUGGGGAAUAUUGGGUAAUGGA
rnacentral:rRNA from 1 species